rnacentral:rRNA from 1 species
CCUACGGGAGGCAGCAGUGGGGAAUAUUGGGCAAUGGGCGCAAGCCUGACGCAGCGACGCCGCGUGAAGGAAGAAGGCUUUCGGUUUGUAAACUUCUUUUCUCAGGGACGAAACAAGUGACGGUACCUGAGGAAUAAGCCACUGCUAACUACGUGCCAGCAGCCGCGGUAAGACGUAGGUGGCAAGCGUUAUCCGGAUUUACUGGGUGUAAAGGGCGUGUAGGCGGGACUGCAAGUCAGAUGUGAAAGCCACGGGCUCAACCUGUGGCCUGCAUUUGAAACUGUAGUUCUUGAGUACUGGGGAGGCAGACGGAAUUCCUAGUGUAGCGGUGAAAUGCGUAGAUAUUAGGAGGAACACCAGUGGCGAAGGCGGUCUGCUGGACAGCAACUGACGCUGAGGCGCGAAAGCGUGGGGAGCAAACAGGAUUAGAUACCCUGGUAGUC